rnacentral:rRNA from 1 species
AACACGUGAGCAACCUGCCCUGGACUCUGGGAUAAGCGCUGGAAACGGUGUCUAAUACUGGAUAUGAGACGUGGCCGCAUGGUCAACGUUUGGAAAGAUUUUUCGGUCUGGGAUGGGCUCGCGGCCUAUCAGCUUGUUGGUGAGGUAAUGGCUCACCAAGGCGUCGACGGGUAGCCGGCCUGAGAGGGUGACCGGCCACACUGGGACUGAGACACGGCCCAGACUCCUACGGGAGGCAGCAGUGGGGAAUAUUGCACAAUGGGCGGAAGCCUGAUGCAGCAACGCCGCGUGAGGGAUGACGGCCUUCGGGUUGUAAACCUCUUUUAGCAGGGAAGAAGCGUGAGUGACGGUACCUGCAGAAAAAGCGCCGGCUAACUACGUGCCAGCAGCCGCGGUAAUACGUAGGGCGCAAGCGUUAUCCGGAAUUAUUGGGCGUAAAGAGCUCGUAGGCGGUUUGUCGCGUCUGCUGUGAAAUCCCGAGGCUCAACCUCGGGUCUGCAGUGGGUACGGGCAGACUAGAGUGCGGUAGGGGGAGAUUGGAAUUCCUGGUGUAGCGGUGGAAUGCGCAGAUAUCAGGAGGAACACCGAUGGCGAAGGCAGAUCUCUGGGCCGUAACUGACGCUGAGGAGCGAAAGGGUGGGGAGCAAACAGGCUUAGAUACCCUGGUAGUCCACCCCGUAAACGUUGGGAACUAGUUGUGGGGUCCUUUCCACGGAUUCCGUGACGCAGCUAACGCAUUAAGUUCCCCGCCUGGGGAGUACGGCCGCAAGGCUAAAACUCAAAGGAAUUGACGGGGACCCGCACAAGCGGCGGAGCAUGCGGAUUAAUUCGAUGCAACGCGAAGAACCUUACCAAGGCUUGACAUACACGAGAACGGGCCAGAAAUGGUCAACUCUUUGGACACUCGUGAACAGGUGGUGCAUGGUUGUCGUCAGCUCGUGUCGUGAGAUGUUGGGUUAAGUCCCGCAACGAGCGCAACCCUCGUUCUAUGUUGCCAGCACGUAAUGGUGGGAACUCAUGGGAUACUGCCGGGGUCAACUCGGAGGAAGGUGGGGAUGACGUCAAAUCAUCAUGCCCCUUAUGUCUUGGGCUUCACGCAUGCUACAAUGGCCGGUACAAAGGGCUGCAAUACCGUGAGGUGGAGCGAAUCCCAAAAAGCCGGUCCCAGUUCGGAUUGAGGUCUGCAACUCGACCUCAUGAAGUCGGAGUCGCUAGUAAUCGCAGAUCAGCAACGCUGCGGUGAAUACGUUCCCGGGUCUUGUACACACCGCCC